rnacentral:lncRNA from 1 species
CCCCGGCCCUGCGCCCCGCGGGCCGCCAGGGGGCGCUGCAGGACCGGCGUGCCGCGCGCGGGGCGGGGCCGGGCGGGGCCGUGAGGGGCCGUGAGGGGUUUGGAGGGGCCGGGAGGGGUCCGGAGGGGCNNNNNNNNNNUCCCCCGCACCGGGGCAUGGAAUGGAUUCGUGGUGAACACCCCGAGGUCUCCCACCGUGGUUCCGUGCAGAGCGGCUCAGCCCUGGAGGAGCUCCACAUCCCCCUGAUGCCGAGGAGGGGCUGGGCACAGCUCUGCAGGUGGGACCUCCAGAGGUCACCUCUGGGAGUCCAGUGACCAACACACCUAGAGAUGCAGAUACUGAGCUGAUAGCGCCUUCCUCGUAGGAUGAAUCCUACCUCCAGGAUGUCACCCAUUCAUGGUGGAACUGCAGGUUCCUGCCCUAUCUGACAGAGCUUUUCCCUGGGGCUGCAUGAGAGACUGCUUUUCAGUUUACUCUUCAUUGUUUGGAUCAGAUAAUCCACCACAGUUGAAGCCACAACUCUUCCUUGCUUUGAAUUCCCCCGAUGUUGAGCUGAUCCUGCCUUUUUCUGGGUUUGUGCUGCCUGUCCCACCUGUGAUGUGAAGUUCAGGGUGAGCACCUGAAGAAUGCAGCCUUGUCACAGGAGAACACAUCCCUGAGCACCACAGAGAUAUAAAAGAGGGAAACAACAACACAUCUUUAAUUAAUGAGAGAUUCUGUCCCUGUGGGUCCAUCUCUUGUGUCUCAGACUAUGCAUCAAACUUAGUCUGCCCUGCCCUGCCAUGCAGCCAGCCAGGCCUCUGGCAAGAGAUUAUCCCCUGGAUGUCAAACAGCAGCUCAAGCCCCAGAAAUCACAUCAGCCCAAGGAUAAACAGCAUAUCAACAAAACCAUUAACUGCAGCAGUAACAAACACAUUCACUCCUUUGCUCCCCCUUCCCUGGGCCAUUAGACCCCAUUUUCAAACACUUCUGGAAAUAGGUUGAAUGGAAAUAGAUUCUGGGAUUCCCUCCUGGCCAAGGCUGUGAGAGGUAUCACAGGAGCCUUGAUGAAACGGCAAGCACUGAAAAUACAAGAACAGAUUUCUGUUCUUUUGUGAAGAAAUUGAUUUUUGCCAGGAACAACAUGCUGCAACCCAGCGUCUGUUCUUGUUAGACUUCAAGUCCUUCCAGGAGGAGUUCUUCAGCAAAUUGGCUCAUUUAGACACAACAGCCAGGAGCAUGGAGAGGAAAAAAAGAGUUUUGUUCAAGGAAAGCCUCUGUAUUGUAAACAGGAUAAAAGGGGAUGGAGAGAGUCACUUAUCACUGUCUCUCAUGUCCCCAGGUCAUUCCUGUGUAGCAUCUACUGGAGGAAAAAGUAUUUUAUAUUCCCUGCUCUCCCAGAACCCCAACUGGAGGAUUUUCUGUAUCACAUAAUCUGC